GAAACUAUACUUUUUAAAAAUAGCCGGAGACGACCAGUCUUUCUUCCCUCCGGCGAUUUUUCUGAGAUUAUCAGAGAGAGAUAUGUUAAUCUAUUAUUCUUUGACAGUCGUCGAGAUGGAAGCGUUUCUGAAAGAAUUCGGAAAUUAUUAUGGAUACCCAUGGUCCCAAGAACAUCAAUGAGACACCGAAUUCAAGAGAUUACUAGAUAAAGGUGUUGCUUACUUGGAUCAUGCUGGUUCCACUUUGUAUUCUGAGUUGCAGAUGGCUAAUAUUUUUUUUAAGGAAUUUACAAGCAAUGUUUUUGGAAAUCCACGUAUCCUUGUAUUAUCAACCUCAUAAGACAUUUAUCUUUUUACUACAGUAGAUAAGCAGGCAGAUGUAUUUAGGGCCUGAAUCUCUUUUUUUUUAAAUAAUUCCUGUGCUAAGUUAAUGACUUGGAAUAUGUGAAACUUUGAUGUUGUUUGGUGAAAAGAACGUAGCUAAUCUCUUUCUGUACUAUCUGUUUUGUAUGGAUGAUAUAAUGCCUUUUUCCUUUCUUUUUGUGAGCUAUGUUAUUGAAAGAGGUUCCUUAAUAGUGAUUUAGAUAGUCAAAGUCUGUGACCAGUGACCUUAUCGCGGAUGCUCCGCAUCAGGAUGACUCUGAAACCUUAGCAAUAAUCAAGGAACUCUUAGAAACGCGCAUCAGACCGGCAGUCCAAGAUGAUGGUGGGGACAUUGAGUAUUGUGGGUUUGACCCGGACAGUGGUAUAGUGCAGCUGAGGAUGCAAGGAGCUUGGAGCGGUCAUCCAAGCUCAUCUGUUACUUUGAAAUCUGGAAUCGAAAAUAUGCUGAUGCAUUAUGUAUCCGAGGUUAAAGGUGUAGAACAAGAGUUUGAUGGGGAAGAUGAAGAGGGAGCGUUGUCUGGAGAGAUGAGAGUGGAAUAAGAUAUCUCCUCAAGCAUAUCCUCUAUGCUCUGCUAGUGUACAGAAGAAUAAAUCCUAGUGACUAGUGAGUACACUUUGUUCUUCAACCCUUGUGUUUUUGGGCUUUUUGAAUCACACUCGAGAGAAUCUACUGAGAGAUCAGGGUUGAUUUGUUAUGUAACUUUUGUUGACCUACUGGGAUAAAUUGAUCUGAUUAUUUCGAGUUUUUCCAAGGAAUAAUGUACUAGAGGAGUAUUAUAGCGAUCAAUUUAUUAGUCCUGUAAGAUUGAGUCUCCAGUCUUUAUAACAUAUUUUUUGGACAAGCCCUUUUCUAUAA